CACGUAUGCUGCGAGCGUUGUUCGGAAUUAUUGGGCGUAAAGGGCAUGUAGGCGGUUCUGCAAGUCUGGUGUGAAAUGCCGGGGCUCAACCCCGGAACUGCGUUGGAAACUACAGGACUUGAAUCGCUGAGGGGCAGCCGGAAUUCCAGGUGUAGGGGUGAAAUCUGUAGAUAUCUGGAAGAAUACCAAUGGCGAAGGCAGGCUGCCAGCAGAUGAUUGACGCUGAGGUGCGAAGGUGCGGGGAGCAGAC
rnacentral:rRNA from 1 species